rnacentral:rRNA from 1 species
CAGGACGAACGCUGGCGGCGUGCCUAAUACAUGCAAGUCGAACGGUCUUUCUAUGGAAGCUUGCUUCCACUGAGAAGAUAGUGGCGAACGGGUGAGUAACACGUGGGUAACCUGCCCAUAAGAGGGGGAUAACAUCCGGAAACGGGUGCUAAUACCGCAUAGUUUUCUUGAUCGCAUGAUCGGGAAAGGAAAGACGGCCUUUGUGCUGUCGCUUAUGGAUGGACCCGCGGCGUAUUAGUUAGUUGGUGAGGUAACGGCUCACCAAGACGAUGAUACGUAGCCGACCUGAGAGGGUGAUCGGCCACAUUGGGACUGAGACACGGCCCAAACUCCUACGGGAGGCAGCAGUAGGGAAUCUUCCGCAAUGGACGAAAGUCUGACGGAGCAACGCCGCGUGAGUGAAAGAAGGUUUUCGGAUCGUAAAACUCUGUUGUCAGAGAAGAACAAGUUGGAGAGUAACUGCUCCAGCCUUGACGGUAUCUGACUAGAAAGCCACGGCUAACUACGUGCCAGCCGCGGC